CAGCACCUCAAGUGGUCAGGAUGAUUAUUGGGCCUAAAGCAUCCGUAGCCGGCGCUGUAAGUUUUCGGUUAAAUCUGUACGCUCAACGUACAGGCUGCCGGGAAUACUGCAGCGCUAGGGAGUGGGAGAGGUAGACGGUACUCGGUAGGAAGGGGUAAAAUCCUUUGAUCUAUUGAUGACCACCUGUGGCGAAGGCGGUCUACCAGAACACGUCCGACGGUGAGGGAUGAAAGCUGGGGGAGCAAACCGGAUUAGAGACCCGAGUAGGCC
rnacentral:rRNA from 1 species